rnacentral:rRNA from 1 species
AUUGAACGCUGGCGGCAGGCCUAACACAUGCAAGUCGAACGAGUGGCGGACGGGUGAGUAAUGUAUGGGAAACUGCCCGAUAGAGGGGGAUAACUACUGGAAACGGUAGCUAAUACCGCAUACUAUCGGAUGUACCCAUAUGGGAUUAGCUAGUGGGUGGGGUAACGGCUCACCAAGGCGACGAUCCCUAGCUGGUCUGAGAGGAUGACCAGCCACACUGGAACUGAGACACGGUCCAGACUCCUACGGGAGGCAGCAGUGGGGAAUAUUGCACAAUGGGCGCAAGCCUGAUGCAGCCAUGCCGCGUGUAUGAAGAAGGCCUUCGGGUUGUAAAGUACUUUCAGCGGGGAGGCGUUACCCGCAGAAGAAGCACCGGCUAACUCCGUGCCAGCAGCCGCGGUAAUAC